AGUCAGUCCUACGUAUGGCGGCGCGGUCUAUUUGGGGAUUGAACCCAUUACGGGCAUGUUGUUAAGUCGUACGAGUUGACGACUGUACUACGAGGCCGGCUCGUUGAUCGUUUAAACCAACGUUUAUCGUCUAAAAAAUUACAGGUGCACGCGCAUAUUAACCGGUGCUACUUGCUGACCUUGCCAACAUCCCGCCAAAUGAUAGACGGAGGGCAAACGGUGUCAAGUUUUAAAAUAUUAAGCUCUUUCGUAGAAGAGCGCACUUCGAGAACGUCAAGGAUACGGGGAUAGGAGUGUUAGUGUGCCAAAACGCAUUUGGAAAGAGGAAGUCCAAUAAAUAGCAUGCGAAAGUGUGCAUAAAUCAAAAAUAAAAAGCAUCACUAUGGGAGGGAUGAAUACAUUUGUAUGCGUGGGCAGGACAAGCAAUGCAAUGCACUUGAAUGUGUGCGUGUAGGUCGGUUAAAUGCAUAUCUUGUCAUUCUCCGCUGAACAUUAUUUUUCCACCUCGAACAAAGCGGGGAAUCACAAGGAAAUGCAUUUAAUUCAUUAUUGUAACAUGUUUUAUAAACUGCACAGGUAGGGAAUUUAAUUUCCAUUGUUCUGAUGUACCAUAAGCCAUGUUCUGAUUAAUAUUUAAUUAAAUAUAGCAGAAAAACUUUCACUUUCAA